rnacentral:rRNA from 1 species
UUGACCAAUUCGACCUCAAUCAGGUAGGACUACCCGCUGAACUUA